AUUGAACGCUGGCGGCAGGCCUAACACAUGCAAGUCGAACGAGUGGCGGACGGGUGAGUAAUGUCUGGGAAACUGCCUGAUGGAGGGGGAUAACUACUGGAAACGGUAGCUAAUACCGCAAACCAUCAGAUGUGCCCAGAUGGGAUUAGCUUGUUGGUGGGGUAACGGCGCACCAAGGCGACGAUCCCUAGCUGGUCUGAGAGGAUGACCGGCAACACUGGAACUGGUACACGGUCCAGACGCCUACGGGAGGCAGCAGUGGGGAAAAUUGCACAAUGGCCCCAAGCCUGCUGCAGCCAUGCCGCGUAUAUGAAGAAGGCCUCCGGGUUGUAAAGUACUUUCAGCGGGGAGGCGUUACCCGCAGAAGAAGCACCGGCUAACUCCGUGCCAGCCGCCGCGGUAAUAC
rnacentral:rRNA from 1 species